CCUACGGGCGGCAGCAGUGGGGAAUAUUGCACAAUGGGGGAAACCCUGAUGCAGCGACGCCGCGUGAGUGAAGAAGUAUUUCGGUAUGUAAAGCUCUAUCAGCAGGGAAGAAAAUGACGGUACCUGACUAAGAAGCGCCGGCUAACUACGUGCCAGCAGCCGCGGUAAUACGUAGGGGGCAAGCGGUAUCCGGAUUUACUGGGUGUAAAGGGAGCGUAGGCGGCACGGUAAGCCCGAAGGGAAAGCCCGGGGCUCAACUGCGGGACUGCUUUUGGAACUAGCUGGCUAGAUUGCAGGAGAGGUAAGUGGAAUGCGUGGUGUAGCGGUGAAAUGCGUAGAUAUUAGGAGGAACACCAGUGGCGAAGGCGGCUUACUGGACUGUAAAUGACGCUGAGGCUCGAAAGCGUGGGGAGCAAACAGGAUUAGAUACCCUUGUAGUC
rnacentral:rRNA from 1 species